UACGGAGGGUGCAAACGUUGCUCGGAAUCAUUGGGCGUAAAGCGCGCGUAGGUGGUUUGUUAAGUUGAAUGUGAAAUCCCCGGGCUCAACCUGGGAACUGCAUGCAAAACUGGCAAGCUAGAGUAUGGUAGAGGGUGGUGGAAUUUCCUGUGUAGCGGUGAAAUGCGUAGAUAUAGGAAGGAACACCAGUGGCGAAGGCGACCACCUGGACUG
rnacentral:rRNA from 1 species